rnacentral:rRNA from 1 species
GUGGAUUAGAUACCCGGGUAGUCCACGCCGUAAACGAUGAUCACUCGCUGUUAGCGAUACACAGUUAGCGGCUAAGCAAAAGCAUUAAGUGAUCCACCUGGGGAGUACGGCCGCAAGGCUGAAACUCAAAGGAAUUGACGGGGGCCCGCACAAGCGGAGGAACAUGUGGUUUAAUUCGAUGAUACGCGAGGAACCUUACCUGGGCUUAAAUGUAGAGUGCAUUAGUGGGAAACCAUUAUUUUCUUCGGAACUCUCUGCAAGGUGCUGCACGGUCGUCGUCAACU